AGCGAACGCUGGCGGCAGGCCUAACACAUGCAAGUCGAACGAACUCCUCGGAGUUAGUGGCGGACGGGUGAGUAACACGUGGGAACGUGCCUUUAGGUUCGGAAUAACUCAGGGAAACUUGUGCUAAUACCGAAUGUGCCCUUCGGGGGAAAGAUUUAUCGCCUUUAGAGCGGCCCGCGUCUGAUUAGCUAGUUGGUGAGGUAAAGGCUCACCAAGGCGACGAUCAGUAGCUGGUCUGAAAGGAUGAUCAGCCACAUUGGGACUGAGACACGGCCCAAACUCCUACGGGAGGCAGCAGUGGGGAAUCUUGCGCAAUGGGCGAAAGCCUGACGCAGCCAUGCCGCGUGAAUGAUGAAGGCCUUAGGAUUGUAAAAUUCUUUCACCGGGGACGAUAAUGACGGUACCCGGAGAAGAAGCCCCGGCUAACUUCGUGCCAGCAGCCGCAGUAA
rnacentral:rRNA from 1 species